rnacentral:misc_RNA from 1 species
AAGUCGUAACAAGGUUUCCGUAGGUGAACCUGCGGAAGGAUCAUUAAAGAGUUGGGGUCCUCUGGGCCCAAUCUCCAACCCCAUGUUUAACUACCAUGUUGCUUUGGCGGGCCCGUCUCACGACGAUCGGGGAGUCUUUGGACCCUUCGCCUGUGCCCGUCAAUAGCCCCUUCAAACUCUUGAUAAAUCAUGAUGUCUGAGUUACAAACUUAAUAGUUAAAACUUUCAACAACGGAUCUCUUGGUUCUG